rnacentral:rRNA from 1 species
UACAGAGGUCCCAAGCGUUGUUCGGAUUUACUGGGCGUAAAGGGUGCGUAGGCGGUCGGGUAAGUCUGAUGUGAAAUCUCUGGGCUCAACCCAGAAAUGGCAUUGGAUACUAUUCGGCUAGAGAGUUGGAGGGGGGACUGGAAUACUUGGUGUAGCAGUGAAAUGCGUAGAUAUCAAGUGGAACACCAGUGGCGAAGGCGAGUCCCUGGACAACUUCUGACGCUGAGGCACGAAAGCUAGGGGAGCAAACAGG